CUUGACGACCAUAGAGCGUUGGAACCACCUGAUCCCAUCCCGAACUCAGAAGUGAAACGAUGCAUCGCCGAUGGUAGUGUGGGGUCUCCCCAUGUGAGAGUAGGUCAUCGUCAAGC
rnacentral:rRNA from 1 species